rnacentral:tRNA from 1 species
CGGAGUGUAGCGCAGUUGGUAGCGCGCCUGCUUUGGGAGCAGGAUGUCGGGAGUUCGAGUCUCUCCACUCCGACCA